rnacentral:lncRNA from 1 species
CCAAUCUUCAGUCCAUUCCCACUCAGCGGUAUGGUCCUCCAAUCCACACGCAGCUUUUUUACCAUGAACGAGAUGACCUCUUUUGUGAUCUUUAGUGCCAUGUUCCCGAUCAACAUCAUUUCACCUAUCUACGAAUCUAACUCUUACAACUUUCCAGUAAGCAGACCUUCAGUGUAUUCAACAUACUGUGGCCCUCAUUCCAAACUUGGCUUGCCAGGCUUUCCUUCGUCAAUUAGGCCUUCGUAAAUAAAGACCUAAUUAAUUCUUCCUAUAAAUUUCUUCAUCUUCAGGAUACACGCGCAAUACAAGAAACAAAGCUUCCAACUUCAUCUCCUUCAGCGACUGUAGCUAAAUUCCAAUAUUGGGUAUACCUCAUUUCCAUGUUCCUGCUCCAUUGUAAGUUCUUCUCAAGUUUUCAACACAUUCCUCCAUUCUGAAUGUCAUAAACCUCUCUCAUGUUCCAGCCAUGUAAUAAUGGCCAGUGGCAAACCAGCACACUUGCUGCUACUGCAUUGCAAUGUCUCUUACUUCAAGGAGAAAGUUCUGUUUGCUGCCCAAGGUUUCUUCAAAUAAUUCCAAGCUCUUUCUCAUAAAGAAGUUGCACUUUGAAUUUACUGGCAAGCCUAUCCCGACGGCAUACUCACCUGAGCGAGUUGGUCAGAACCAACUUACAAGUCUUAUUUCCAUUCACUUUAUCGAGGAAUUCCACUUUUCUAGAGCCCUCUCUCCCAUACAUCAUCCAAAAUGAGUACACAUUUUCCCUGUCAAUGCUCGUGACAUUUUGCUGCCCUUUUCUCUCAUCACUCAUUGAGAAAUCCAAUUCCAAAUUUUUGGCAUGUCAUUCUGCAACUUACGCGAUGCUACUUUCUUGUAUACAGUACUCCAAUGGAUAUAACCAAACUUCUCCUCAUCUCGUACAAGUGCUGUUUAGAUAUGCAAUACGAAACCGUAGCUCGAACCAAAACAAAGGAGCACGGGUUGUUUUGCCAACUCCCCUAUUCCAUGUACCCAAUGCACCAGACUUCAUCAUCAUUACGUACUUAAAAAGUUCAUCUACCUUUCGCUUAGAUGUUGAACUUGUAACUCCUGGGGCCAAUAGUGGUUUACUGUGGUCCUCACAUGUGGCCAAGUAGAAGCCCCCCUGGAAACUCCACCUUCCUUGUUGAAGUUCCUCAAUUUUCUUUAAAUAAUUUUCAAUACGAUUUUCCCCAUAUAGUGAAGAUCUUUGCUUUCCUUGAAUUUCUUCUAGUUUUUUGGACUUUAUUUUUCAUCAUCUCCACCUCUCCACAUUGUCAACUACACGCUUCGUCUUUCCUGAGCUGAUUCUUCAGCUUCUACUGUCUCUUUUCACGUCAUCUUCUCGGCCACUCAUGUUUUCAAGUUUUUUUGUUUCUUUCGGAGUAUUUGCAUCUUUUCAUCCUGGCACUUAAAUAUUUAUUUCUGCACAAUAUCCCAAGCAUUUUCUCUGCCAUCACACUGCCUGAUACCAAAAAAGCAAAACCAAGAACAAAGGUUUCAAAUACCAAUCAAAGAUGUACACUCAACACCAAUAUCAAUCAUUGAAGGAAAAUGUCUAUGGUCCAAAAAGCUCUACAACUCAUUUGUAGACACUUAUUCUUCAUAUUAAACAGAGUCCAGGUGGUUUUCCUGCUUUUGUUUUCGGUUUUCCUGAGUUUUUUUAGGGUGCUUACGAAGUGGUAUUGCAUAUUUGAAGUUUUUGUAGUGAUAUAGAAAUAGAGGACAUAAUAAAGACAAAUAUCAUAAGAUAUGAAGUUUAAAAUAGCUAAUCGAUUGUUUGGUUUCUAUUGUCAUUUCUUUUUUCCUCGGUAAAUGCCUCCAUAAAACUAUGAUCCAAACACUGUCUUAACCUAUAUGAAAUGAGGACACUACAGAAGCCGCAAAUGAAUGGACCGGAAUCUAUACUCUAUAUUAAUUGCAGGAACAUUUUAUUCCCGAGAGUAUUAAUCUAACUUCAUCAAUUGUUAAUUUUUAAAAUCAGGAAUACACGUGACAUGAAAGUAUAAAAGGUAUUCUAAUUUUGAUCGCAAUCGUUAAAUAAAAGUCUGAAAUAAAAUCUUAUCAAUAUCAUUUUGAAUAUCCGUGAAUGGAAUUUUGUAUAUACUAAAUAUUUGGUAUCAUUGCCAAAUUUAUGACAUGUGCCCUCACAAUUCAAAAUCUUUUAACAACACAAAAAUAGAUUGAAAAAUCAAAGCCAUAACGGUGUAUUUUGCAUACUUAAAUGACAAAAUGAAAUCAAAAAUUAGAAGAAAUUGCUAUGAGAAAAAUGGAAUGUCUAAAAUUAAAUCCUAAGACAGAUUGGAAAUUGAAAUUUUGAAAUCUAUAACAGAUUGAUUAAAUAUCAAUAUGUAGUAAAAUUUCAGACAAUCUUAAAUCUUAAAAAAUAAAGUCAAAAUAAGAAUUGCUGAAGUAGAGUAGGAAGAAAACCAUUACUAAAAAAUAUUAACGAAGAUUUCAAAUAAUUCUAUAUUCAAUCAACACU